CAUCGAUGUUUCACAUUGUUGCUUUACCAGGGAACCUGGUGGGUUUUGCACCCGAGGCAAUGUAUUCCCUAAAAUGUAAAAUGCAAGGAGGAGGGCCUUUGCUCUGUAAGGUGGAAAGAAGUCCAUUUCACAAGAGGAACGUACAACUUUGACCUCAUUUUUUCUUAGGUAGAUUUGAGAAAAGAGGAAAAACGGGCUUUGAGGAUCUGAAAAUUGACUCCCGUAAGAACUCAAGACUCACAUGGAAAGUUGUCCAGAUUCUUGCUAUUGUAGUGUGGUCUGUGGACAGGCAGCAUUGGCAUCACCUGGGAGCUGGGUAGAAAUGUAGACUCUUGGGCCUACUCCAGACCUAUGGAAUCAGAAUCUGCAUUUGAUGGAAUCUCAGGGUGAUUUGCAAGCACAUUCAAGUCUGAGAAACACUGAGCUGGACCACCGCCACUCCCCUCCCGGAAGAACGUGGCUUCGUAGCCUGGAAUCUGUCUGUGUUCUCCGCGUGGGCUCCUUCCUAGGAAAAAUACGUGUGAACAAAACGUAAAAGGAUUAAUUUAGCAUCAUAUCCCGUGAUUUCAAUGUGGGGCGAAGUGUGGGAGCUUAAUAAGUCGGUGACCCAUCUGAGCUGGCAUCAGAGGAAGGAUCAGGGUGCUCAAAAGAAGGGCCUUGGAUGAUGGCCUCCAAGGCACCCU